rnacentral:rRNA from 1 species
UACAGAGGUCUCAAGCGUUGCUCGGAUUCAUUGGGCGUAAAGGGUGCGUAGGUGGCGCCAUAAGUCAGGUGUGAAAUCUCGGGGCUCAACCCCGAAACUGCACUUGAUACUGUGGUGCUCGAGUACUGGAGAGGAGAUUGGAAUUUACGGUGUAGCAGUGAAAUGCGUAGAUAUCGUAAGGAAGACCAGUGGCGAAGGCGAAUCUCUGGACAGUUACUGACACUGAGGCACGAAGGCCAGGGGAGCAAACGGG